AGGAUCAUUAUUGAAUGAACGUGGUGUGGUUGUUGCUGGCUCUCUUGUGGGGGCAUGUGCACACCCGCCAUCCUCAUCUCUCCACCUGUGCACCUCUUGUAGACCUGGAUGAAUUUUCCGAGGUAACUCGGUCGGGAGGAAUGCUGCGCUCUUUGCGUCGGCUUUCUUUGCACUUCCAAGCCUACGUUUUUUUCAUAUACCCGUAGUAUGUAACAGAAUGUAUCAUUGGGCCUAAGUGCCUAUAAACCUUAUACAACUUUCAGCAACGGAUCUCUUGGCUCUCGCAUCGAUGAAGAACGCAGCGAAAUGCGAUAAGUAAUGUGAAUUGCAGAAUUCAGUGAAUCAUCGAAUCUUUGAACGCACCUUGCGCUCCUUGGUAUUCCGAGGAGCAUGCCUGUUUGAGUGUCAUUUAAUUCUCAACCUUAUUAGCUUUUGUUGAUAAUGGCUUGGAUGUGGGGGUUUUCUUUUGCUGGCUUUCUUCGGAUGUCAGCUCCCCUUAAAUGUAUUAGCCGGUGCCCUGCGUGGACUAUCCGUUGGUGUGAUAAUUAUCUACGCCGUUGGAUGUCUGCAAAUAGGUUUUGCACUGCUUCUAACUGUCUGUUCAUUUGGACAAUACAUGACAAUUUGACCU
rnacentral:rRNA from 1 species